AGAGUUUGAUCAUGGCUCAGAAUCAACGCUGGCGGCGUGCCUCAGACAUGCAAGUCGAACGAUUAAGACUUCCUUCGGGAAGUGUAAAGUGGCGCACGGGUGAGUAACACGUAAGUAAUCUACCCUCGAGUGGGGAAUAACAUCGGGAAACCGAUGCUAAUACCGCAUAAGCAGCGGCCAAGGUGACAGUUGUUAAAGGAGCAAUCCGCUUGAGGAGGAGCUUGCGGCAGAUUAGCUAGUUGGUGAGGUAAUGGCUCACCAAGGCGACGAUCUGUAUCCGGCCUGAGAGGGCGGUCGGACACACUGACACUGAAUAACGGGUCAGACUCCUACGGGAGGCAGCAGUCGGGAAUUUUGGGCAAUGGGCGAAAGCCUGACCCAGCAACGCCGCGUGAGGGAUGAAGUAUUUCGGUAUGUAAACCUCGAAAGAAUGGGAAGAAUAAAUGACGGUACCAUUUAUAAGCUCCGGCUAACUACGUGCCAGCAGCCGCGGUAAUACGUAGGGAGCAAGCGUUGUUCGGAUUUACUGGGCGUAAAGGGCGCGUAGGCGGCGCGGUAAGUCACUUGUGAAAUCUCUGAGCUUAACUCAGAACGGCCAAGUGAUACUGCUGUGCUAGAGUGCGGAAGAGGCAACCGGAAUUCUUGGUGUAGCGGUGAAAUGCGUAGAUAUCAAGAGGAACACCUGAGGCGAAGGCGGGUUGCUGGGCCGACACUGACGCUGAUGCGCGAAAGCCAGGGGAGCAAACGGGAUUAGAUACCCCGGUAGUCCUGGCCCUAAACGAUGAAUACUUGGUGUCUGGAGUUUCAAUGCUCCGGGUGCCGUCGCUAACGUUUUAAGUAUUCCGCCUGGGGAGUACGCUCGCAAGAGUGAAACUCAAAGGAAUUGACGGGGACCCGCACAAGCGGUGGAGCAUGUGGUUUAAUUCGACGCAACGCGAAGAACCUUACCUGGGCUAGAAUGGAGGGAAUGUCGGGUAACGCCGACAGUCCGGGAAACCGGACCCGAAGGUGCUGCAUGGCUGUCGUCAGCUCGUGUCGUGAGAUGUUGGGUUAAGUCCCGCAACGAGCGCAACCCUUAUCAACAGUUGCCAUCAUUAAGUUGGGCACUCUGUUGAGACUGCCGUUGAUAAGACGGAGGAAGGUGGGGAUGACGUCAAGUCCUCAUGGCCCUUACGCGCUGGGCUACACACGUGCUACAAUGGGGUGACAGUGGGCAGCAAGCCCGCGAGGGCGAGCUAAUCUCCAAAAGCCGUCCUCAGUUCGGAUUGACUCUGCAACUCGAGUGCAUGAAGGCGGAAUCGCUAGUAAUCGCGGAUCAGAUGCCGCGGUGAAUACGUUCCCAGGCCUUGUACACACCGCCCGUCACACCAUGGGAGUUGGAUUCACCCGAAGGCGCUGCGCUAACCCAAGGAGGCAGGCGACCACGGUGGGUUCAGCGACUGGGGUGAAGUCGUAACAAGGUAGCC
rnacentral:rRNA from 1 species